UACAGAGGGUGCGAGCGUUGCUCGGAAUCACUGGGCGUAAAGCGCACGUAGGCGGACUCUUAAGUCGGUGGUGAAAUCCUGGAGCUCAACUCCAGAACUGCCUUCGAUACUGGGAGUCUUGAGUCCGGGAGAGGUGAGUGGAACUGCGAGUGUAGAGGUGAAAUUCGUAGAUAUUCGCAAGAACACCAGUGGCGAAGGCGGCUCACUGGCCCGGUACUGACGCUGAGGUGCGAAAGCGUGGGGAGCAAACAGG
rnacentral:rRNA from 1 species